rnacentral:lncRNA from 1 species
AGACCAGCCAGUAGACAGUCUGAUUCAGCUGGUGAGACAGAGCUGUACAUCGUUAACCAGGCCCCUCUGGGUGCUGAAUCUGUUCCUUCCUAAGCCACCCUUUGACUGUUACCCAUCCACAGUGGCAUCUCCAUCUACCUAGAAGAUGACGGCAAAGCCAUGUUGAGGAGCUGAGCAUGGUAGAACAAGUUUACAAUCCCAGCAUCCAGGAGGCUGAGGCAGGAGGACUGUAGGUUUGAGGCUAGCCUAGGUGACAGCAGAUGCUGGUAAGGAUGAAGAGAAAAACGAACUCUAUUCUAUUGCUGGUGGGAUUGCAAGCUGGUACAACCCCUUUGGAUAUCAAUAUGACGGUGCCUCAGAAAAUUGGAAAUAGUUCUACCUGAAAACUAAGCUAUACCACAACUGGGCAUAUACCCAAAAGAUGCUCCAACAUAUAACAAGGACACAUGCUCCACUAUGUUCAUAGCAGCCUUAUUUAUACAAGCCAGAAG